AUCUGCUGUUUUCAUGUCUGGCCGGAGGUCUGAGGUGCCCCGUUUCCCGGAGUUGACGCCCCUCCCCUGCUGCCCUGUGGGGUGGGAGCGCAGGUGCCGGUUUCUGUCCCAGAUGGAGGUUUGUUUGUAAAAACAAUGGUGUGUUGUUUGAAAACCAGCUGCUUCAAAUUGGACUUAAGUCUGAAUUUCGGCAGAAUUUAGGUCGGAUGUUUAUCUUUUAUGGUAAUAAGACCUCCACGCAGUUCCUAAACUUUACCCCAACACUAAUCUGUUCAGACGACCUUCAGCCUAACCUGAACCUGCAGACCAAGCCCGUGGACCCGACCGUGGAGGGGGGCGCGCAGGUGCAGCAGGUGGUCAACAUAGAGUGCGUGUCCGACUUCACGGAGGCGCCAGUCCUCAACAUUCAGUUCAGGUAUGGGGGCACCUUCCAGAACGUGUCUGUGCAGCUGCCCAUCACUCUCAACAAAUUCUUCCAGCCGACAGAAAUGGCGUCUCAGGAUUUCUUUCAACGUUGGAAGCAGUUGAGCAAUCCACAGCAGGAAGUGCAGAACAUCUUCAAAGCAAAGCA
rnacentral:sRNA from 1 species